UACGGGGGGAGCAAGCGUUGUUCGGAUUUACUGGGCGUAAAGGGCGCGUAGGCGGUCAGCACAAGUCAGUUGUGAAAUCUCCGGGCUUAACUCGGAAAGGUCAACUGAUACUGUGCGACUAGAGUGCGGAAGGGGCAACUGGAAUUCUCGGUGUAGCGGUGAAAUGCGUAGAUAUCGAGAGGAACACCUGCGGCGAAGGCGGGUUGCUGGGCCGACACGUGACGCUGAGGCGCGAAAGCCAGGGGAGCGAACGGG
rnacentral:rRNA from 1 species